rnacentral:piRNA from 1 species
UGGUGGAUAAAUCUUAAAAGAAAGGGAGAGC